AUGGCAACAUUUAAAUUUAAAUCAGACAGAGAAAUAAAAGACCCAAGAGGUGCAAUUAGAAGACCAUCCCUGAAUGAGGAAAUGAACCUGAAGGAUAUGAUGAAAGACAUGAUGAGAGAGAUUCAGAAAAUUCAGGAGAAGCAAGACGUAUACCAGAAAAUACAACAGGAACAAAUGUCGGAUUUUAAAAAGGAGAUUAAAGAAGAACUGGGGAUAAUGAAGAACGAGAUUACAACAUUACAACAGGAAAUAAAGGACCUGAAAAAUGAAAAGAAAGAACUAAAGAUAACUCAAGAAAAGACCCAAUAUAAACUAAAAGAACUAGAGAAAAAAAAUGAAAAAAUAAACGCAAAACAAGAAGCCAUGGAGGCGAGAGAAUUGGAACAUCAAUUAAGAAUGAGAAAUAUACCGGAAGAGCCAGGAGAAAACAUAAGAGAGAAAGUAAUAGAGAUACUAAUGAAACUUCUGGACUGCUCCGAACAGGAGAUACAAAUACAAAUGGACAGAACGUACAGGAUUAACACAAAUUUCUCAAGAAGAAACAAAACCCCAAGAGACGUGAUAGUAAACCUUACAAAGAAAAUUGCAAGAGAUGAAAUAUUGAGAAUAAAUAACAAAAAACAGAUAUUCUACAAAGAGACAAAAAUAGCGAUAUUGAAGGAAGUACCAAAUACAAUAAUAAAUAGAAGGAAAAAAUAUACCUUCCUGACAGAGGAAUUGAAGCAACAGAAGGCGAGAUACAGGUGGGAAAAAGAAGAAGGACUAAUGACAACGUAUAAAGGUCAAAGGUACUGGAUCACAACAGAAGAAAGAGCCCGAGAAUUUUACAACACAAUAAGAAAGGAGAAGGAUGAAGAGGCUGAAAGGAAACAAAAAGAGAAGAAAAAACCAAAGAGACAACGCAUAGAGUCACCCGAAAAAGAUGAUUUGGACAUAAAAGAAUGCAGACUGAACCUAAGGGAAAACAUGGAAUCUACGAAUCUAGGACAAGUGGAAGAAAGACAGGGGGAAGAGGAACAAGAGGAUAGAAUGAGAGAAGAAGAGGAGGAAGAGGAAGAGACAGAAGCAGUGGGUGAUAAGGACGAAGAUAAAUAUGAGUGA
rnacentral:lncRNA from 1 species